GACGAACGCUGGCGGCGUGCCUAAUACAUGCAAGUUGAGCGCUGAAGGUUGGUACUUGUACCAACUGGAUGAGCAGCGAACGGGUGAGUAACGCGUGGGGAAUCUGCCUUUGAGCGGGGGACAACAUUUGGAAACGAAUGCUAAUACCGCAUAAAAACUUUAAACACAAGUUUUAAGUUUGAAAGAUGCAAUUGCAUCACUCAAAGAUGAUCCCGCGUUGUAUUAGCUAGUUGGUGAGGUAAAGGCUCACCAAGGCGAUGAUACAUAGCCGACCUGAGAGGGUGAUCGGCCACAUUGGGACUGAGACACGGCCCAAACUCCUACGGGAGGCAGCAGUAGGGUAUCUUCGGCAAUGGACGAAAGUCUGACCGAGCAACGCCGCGUGAGUGAAGAAGGUUUUCGGAUCGUAAAACUCUGUUGGUAGAGAAGAACGUUGGUGAGAGUGGAAAGCUCAUCAAGUGACGGUAACUACCCAGAAAGGGACGGCUAACUACGUG
rnacentral:rRNA from 1 species